AGAGUUUGAUCCUGGCUCAGAGUGAACGCUGGCGGCAGGCUUAACACAUGCAAGUCGAACGCCCCGCAAGGGGAGUGGCAGACGGGUGAGUAACGCGUGGGAAUAUCCCCUUUGGUUCAGGACAGCCCCGGGAAACUGGGAUUAAUACUGGAUAAGAUCUACGGAUGAAAGAUUUAUCGCCGAAGGAUUAGCCCGCGUAAGAUUAGCUAGUUGGUGAGGUAAUGGCUCACCAAGGCUAUGAUCUUUAGCUGGUCUGAGAGGAUGAUCAGCCACACUGGAACUGAGACACGGUCCAGACUCCUACGGGAGGCAGCAGUGGGGAAUUUUGGACAAUGGGCGCAAGCCUGAUCCAGCAAUGCCGCGUGCAGGAUGAAGGCCUUCGGGUUGUAAACUGCUUUUGUACGGAACGAAACGGUCUGCCCUAAUACGGUGGGCUAAUGACGGUACCGUAAGAAUAAGCACCGGCUAACUACGUGCCAGCAGCCGCGGUAAUACGUAGGGUGCGAGCGUUAAUCGGAAUUACUGGGCGUAAAGCGUGCGCAGGCGGUUAUGUAAGACAGAUGUGAAAUCCCCGGGGCUCAACCUGGGACCUGCAUUUGUGACUGCAUAGCUAGAGUACGGUAGAGGGGGAUGGAAUUCCGCGUGUAGCAGUGAAAUGCGUAGAUAUGCGGAGGU
rnacentral:rRNA from 1 species